rnacentral:rRNA from 1 species
UACAGGGGUCUCAAGCGUUGUUCGGAUUCAUUGGGCGUAAAGGGUGUGUAGGUGGCGCCGUAAGUCGGGUGUGAAAUUUCGGAGCUUAACUCCGAAACUGCAUUCGAUACUGCGGUGCUUGAGGACUGGAGAGGAGACUGGAAUUCAUGGUGUAGCAGUGAAAUGCGUAGAGAUCACGAGGAAGACCAGUGGCGAAGGCGGGUCUCUGGACAGUUCCUGACACUGAGACACGAAGGCCAGGGGAGCAAACGGG